rnacentral:rRNA from 1 species
CACGUAGGGCGCAAGCGUUGUCCGGAAUUAUUGGGCGUAAAGAGCUCGUAGGCGGUCUGUUGCGUCCGCUGUGAAAACUCGGGGCUUAACCCCGAGCCUGCAGUGGAUACGGGCAGACUAGAGGUAGGUAGGGGAGAAUGGAAUUCCCGGUGUAGCGGUGAAAUGCGCAGAUAUCGGGAGGAACACCGGUGGCGAAGGCGGUUCUCUGGGCCGU